UACGUAGGGUGCGAGCGUUGUCCGGAAUUAUUGGGCGUAAAGGGCUCGUAGGCGGUUUGUCGCGUCGGGAGUGAAAACCUUGGGCUUAACUCAAGGCUUGCUUUCGAUACGGGCAGACUAGAGGUAUGCAGGGGAGAACGGAAUUCCUGGUGUAGCGGUGAAAUGCGCAGAUAUCAGGAGGAACACCGGUGGCGAAGGCGGGUCUCUGGGCCGUAACUGACGCUGAGGAGCGAAAGCGUGGGGAGCGAACAGG
rnacentral:rRNA from 1 species